rnacentral:tRNA from 1 species
GGCGCCAUGGCUUAGUUGGUAAAAGUGACUGUCUAGUAAACAGGAGAUCCUGAGUUCGAAUCUCAGUGGUGCCA